GUACACAAAAAUGCACAUAUUGUGAGCUCGAUGAGUAGGGCGGGACACGUGGUAUCCUGUCUGAAUAUGGGGGGACCAUCCUCCAAGGCUAAAUACUCCUGACUGACCGAUAGUGAACCAGUACCGUGAGGGAAAGGCGAAAAGAACCCCGGCGAGGGGAGUGAAAAAGAACCUGAAACCGUGUACGUACAAGCAGUGGGAGCCUCUUUAUGGGGUGACUGCGUACCUUUUGUAUAAUGGGUCAGCGACUUAUAUUCUGUAGCAAGGUUAACCGAAUAGGGGAGCCGAAGGGAAACCGAGUCUUAACUGGGCGUUAAGUUGCAGGGUAUAGACCCGAAACCCGGUGAUCUAGCCAUGGGCAGGUUGAAGGUUGGGUAACACUAACUGGAGGACCGAACCGACUAAUGUUGAAAAAUUAGCGGAUGACUUGUGGCUGGGGGUGAAAGGCCAAUCAAACCGGGAGAUAGCUGGUUCUCCCCGAAAGCUAUUUAGGUAGCGCCUCGUGAAUUCAUCUCCGGGGGUAGAGCACUGUUUCGGCAAGGGGGUCAUCCCGACUUACCAACCCGAUGCAAACUGCGAAUACCGGAGAAUGUUAUCACGGGAGACACACGGCGGGUGCUAACGUCCGUCGUGAAGAGGGAAACAACCCAGACCGCCAGCUAAGGUCCCAAAGUCAUGGUUAAGUGGGAAACGAUGUGGGAAGGCCCAGACAGCCAGGAUGUUGGCUUAGAAGCAGCCAUCAUUUAAAGAAAGCGUAAUAGCUCACUGGUCGAGUCGGCCUGCGCGGAAGAUGUAACGGGGCUAAACCAUGCACCGAAGCUGCGGCAGCGACACUAUGUGUUGUUGGGUAGGGGAGCGUUCUGUAAGCCUGUGAAGGUGGCCUGUGAGGGUUGCUGGAGGUAUCAGAAGUGCGAAUGCUGACAUAAGUAACGAUAAAGCGGGUGAAAAGCCCGCUCGCCGGAAGACCAAGGGUUCCUGUCCAACGUUAAUCGGGGCAGGGUGAGUCGACCCCUAAGGCGAGGCCGAAAGGCGUAGUCGAUGGGAAACAGGUUAAUAUUCCUGUACUUGGUGUUACUGCGAAGGGGGGACGGAGAAGGCUAUGUUGGCCGGGCGACGGUUGUCCCGGUUUAAGCGUGUAGGCUGGUUUUCCAGGCAAAUCCGGAAAACCAAGGCUGAGGCGUGAUGACGAGGCACUACGGUGCUGAAGCGACAAAUGCCCUGCUUCCAGGAAAAGCCUCUAAGCAUCAGGUAACAUCAAAUCGUACCCCAAACCGACACAGGUGGUCAGGUAGAGAAUACCAAGGCGCUUGAGAGAACUCGGGUGAAGGAACUAGGCAAAAUGGUGCCGUAACUUCGGGAGAAGGCACGCUGAUAUGUAGGUGAAGCGACUUGCUCGUGGAGCUGAAAUCAGUCGAAGAUACCAGCUGGCUGCAACUGUUUAUUAAAAACACAGCACUGUGCAAACACGAAAGUGGACGUAUACGGUGUGACGCCUGCCCGGUGCCGGAAGGUUAAUUGAUGGGGUUAGCGGUAACGCGAAGCUCUUGAUCGAAGCCCCGGUAAACGGCGGCCGUAACUAUAACGGUCCUAAGGUAGCGAAAUUCCUUGUCGGGUAAGUUCCGACCUGCACGAAUGGCGUAAUGAUGGCCAGGCUGUCUCCACCCGAGACUCAGUGAAAUUGAACUCGCUGUGAAGAUGCAGUGUACCCGCGGCAAGACGGAAAGACCCCGUGAACCUUUACUAUAGCUUGACACUGAACAUUGAGCCUUGAUGUGUAGGAUAGGUGGGAGGCUUUGAAGUGUGGACGCCAGUCUGCAUGGAGCCGACCUUGAAAUACCACCCUUUAAUGUUUGAUGUUCUAACGUUGGCCCGUAAUCCGGGUUGCGGACAGUGUCUGGUGGGUAGUUUGACUGGGGCGGUCUCCUCCUAAAGAGUAACGGAGGAGCACGAAGGUUGGCUAAUCCUGGUCGGACAUCAGGAGGUUAGUGCAAUGGCAUAAGCCAGCUUGACUGCGAGCGUGACGGCGCGAGCAGGUGCGAAAGCAGGUCAUAGUGAUCCGGUGGUUCUGAAUGGAAGGGCCAUCGCUCAACGGAUAAAAGGUACUCCGGGGAUAACAGGCUGAUACCGCCCAAGAGUUCAUAUCGACGGCGGUGUUUGGCACCUCGAUGUCGGCUCAUCACAUCCUGGGGCUGAAGUAGGUCCCAAGGGUAUGGCUGUUCGCCAUUUAAAGUGGUACGCGAGCUGGGUUUAGAACGUCGUGAGACAGUUCGGUCCCUAUCUGCCGUGGGCGCUGGAGAACUGAGGGGGGCUGCUCCUAGUACGAGAGGACCGGAGUGGACGCAUCACUGGUGUUCGGGUUGUCAUGCCAAUGGCACUGCCCGGUAGCUAAAUGCGGAAGAGAUAAGUGCUGAAAGCAUCUAAGCACGAAACUUGCCCCGAGAUGAGUUCUCCCUGACUCCUUGAGAGUCCUGAAGGAACGUUGAAGACGACGACGUUGAUAGGCCGGGUGUGUAAGCG
rnacentral:rRNA from 1 species